rnacentral:rRNA from 1 species
CCUACGGGAGGCAGCAGUGGGGAAUAUUGCACAAUGGGGGAAACCCUGAUGCAGCGACGCCGCGUGAGUGAAGAAGUUCUUCGUUACGUAAAGCUCUAUCAGCAGGGAAGAAAAUUACGGUACCUGAGCAAGAAUCCCUGGCUAACUCCGUGCCAGCAGCCGCGGUCAUACGUAGGGGGCAAGCGUUAGCCGGAUUUACUGGGUGUAACGGGAGCGUAGACGGUGCGCCAAGUCUAGAGUGAAAUGCCGCAGCUUAACUGCGGAACUGCUUUGGAAACUGGCGAACUAGAGUGCGGGAGGGGUAAGCGGAAUUCCUGGUGUAGCGGUGAAAUGCGUAGAUAUUAGGAGGAACACCGGUGGCGAAGGCGGCUUACUGGACCGUAACUGACGUUGAGGCUCGAAAGCGUGGGGAGCAAACAGGAUUAGAUACCCUGGUAGUC